rnacentral:rRNA from 1 species
AGUGAACGCUGGCGGUAGGCCUAACACAUGCAAGUCGAACGGCAGCACAGUAAGAGCUUGCUCUUACGGGUGGCGAGUGGCGGACGGGUGAGGAGUACAUCGGAAUCUACUUUUUCGUGGGGGAUAACGUAGGGAAACUUACGCUAAUACCGCAUACGACCUACGGGUGAAAGCAGGGGAUCUUCGGACCUUGCGCGAUCGAAUGAGCCGAUGUCGGAUUAGCUAGUUGGCGGGGUAAAGGCCCACCAAGGCGACGAUCCGUAGCUGGUCUGAGAGGAUGAUCAGCCACACUGGAACUGAGACACGGUCCAGACUCCUACGGGAGGCAGCAGUGGGGAAUAUUGGACAAUGGGCGCAAGCCUGAUCCAGCCAUACCGCGUGGGUGAAGAAGGCCUUCGGGUUGUAAAGCCCUUUUGUUGGGAAAGAAAAGCAGCAGGUUAAUACCCCGCUGUUCCGACGGUACCCAAAGAAUAAGCACCGGCUAACUUCGUG